rnacentral:lncRNA from 1 species
UCAAAAUAUGCCUAUAUAAGUCAAUUAUUUAAGCUGCUCUAAGGCUAGCUUUCCUCCAAUAUGAAAAUAUUAAAGUGACAUUGUCAUGAAACCAAAGACUUAGAUUUGGCCACUGUGAAUUUGUCAGGUUUAUAUGAGGGAAUGAUAGUAACUAUGACUGUAAGGUGUUCUAAAGACAGGAGUCUCUCUUGCUCUUUCAAUAUGUGCCAUGAUUUCUGCCUGCACAAGCUGGCAACCAACUGGUAUCAGGGGAUUGCCUCAUUAUAUGAAAAUAAACUUAACCCAUCUAGGCUAGCUUGUACUUUAUGAAACUGGGGCAUGCAAUAUUAGUAUAUUAAUAUUCACCAAGCAGAACAGGGGGAAAUCUCAAAGCAAAUGCAUUGUUUUAACUUUGAAGGUAUUAGCAAAUACGGUUAACAAUUCUGCCUCUCCCUUCCUUUACAAAAGCAUUUAGUAAGCUGAAGAGCACUGAACAAGUGGUGGUUACUGCUAUUUAUACACCUUAAAUUCUAGAAUGUUGCCGACAUCACAAACAGCUCACAGAUACUCUGUAAGGUGGUUGUAAGGUUAGCACUCUAACCUAACACCUUCAUCAAGCAGAUGAAGAAACAAGCCCAGAGAGCUAACGAAGUUCACACUGUAAAUCAGCAGGACUUGAGAUUAGGAUCAGGCUUUCUGACUCUUAUUUUUGAACUAUUGUUGUAUUGUCACUAAUAUCGAUUAUUUUGAAAUACUAAUUCUUCAGCUAAAUCUCUGCUCGUAUUAUGAAAAGCUGCCUCAACUCAAUACAUUACAGCUUGUAUGUAUUUCACAAUAAUAAUGACAAAAGUGCCAAUGAUAUUUUGAAGUCAUCCCAUGUCUCAAUUCAGUAAACCCAAGCAGAAAGAGAUUACUUACGAAUGGAUGUAGUUCCUCACAUUUACCCAGAGAAAAAUUGCCUUAUUGGACCAGAUAAACUUCCCAGGCAUAGAUCUAUAAGAGAUGAAAAAGUGAAUGAGGCAGCAGGAUGUAGUUAUACGAGUAUUGGAACCAGAAAGACUUGGAUUGAAUUAUCGUUACUAUCAUGGAGACUCAAGCUGACAGUGGCAAUAAGUCAUGCAUACAACAAAAUGAAUACAAUGUCAAAAGUAGCACAUUUUCAGUACCAUGUGACUAUGACAGCAAGUAAAUGCUUAAAAUUUGUUGAAGGGAGACCUUGUAGUGUGUGUAUGUGUGUGUAUGCACGUGUGUGUGUGCAUGUGUAUGUGUGUGUGCUUACAUUUCAUUAUUUUACAAGUAUAUGCAUAAGUCUAUCUAGCAUGAUCAGCCUGAGAAAGACACCCAUGUCUUUUAAAGUCCACUUGGUCUUAUCAAGUUAUAUACACCAUUUCUACAAUUUUGCUAUAGUUAAAAGAAA